GUAUAAUCACAUAGUUCGUUUGCCUGUCGGUAUGGAGAUACGGGGAGUAAUUCCUGCCCAAUUUAAUUGCAGUCACCACAGUGAAAAGGGUGACUCCAAACAGCUCUGCCGGGAAGUCCUGCUCAGUCUUAACUGUGUUACAGGGUGCUUGAAGUCCCCAACCUGGUAAAAGUUGUUUUUAUACUGUUGGAGAACCUUCUUCUAGAAGAUCCCACUGAAGUUCCAGAUUAUCACCAUCACCUGGGGAAGGCAUCACAGUGGCAGACUCGUACAAUAACUCCUGACACCCUUACUUGGACAACAU